GCCUUCGUGGUGUAGUGGUCAGCACGCUGGGCUCGUAUUCCGGUGGUCCAUGGUUCGAGUCCCGUCGAAGGCG
rnacentral:tRNA from 1 species